CACACUUAGAAAAUUUGCUGUAACACACAUUUUCACAGCAGCUUCCACGUCCCAGAGGGGUAAAACAGGAAACGGCAGCUAGCCAAGAAAAAAAACAAACAAAACACACACCUCCAACAUCCUGCUGCAUCUCUCUUUGUGGAAGUGCUGUGGAGCAUCUUCCAUCGGGGGUUAAUCAGCAAAUAAAACGCACUGUGACUUCUGAUAAGACGUUAAUAGGCUUAACUCGCGUUUAAGCGGAUCUACCUUAACAUAACUUUCUUUUCAAUUACGAUACGCUUUCUAGAUUGCAGCACGCUUUAUUUUGAAACAGGGAGAUGCUGAAACGGCAAUUAGCAUUUUUCAUGCCGCUACGCCCGAGACGCGCGCGCGCUUUUACCUGCGCCUCUUCGCGAUGGAGCUGAUUGCAAGCGUCAAACAACAGACAUUUUAAUGUGACAAUGAAAGAAAAAGGUAUUUGAAAUCCCAUGGUGUGCACACAGUUCAAAUUUGGAAGGGAAAAUUUCAAAGACAAUCAGAUUGACUGAUAAAAGAAACAAAAGGAGAGAGCAGGUGCAGGCUUUGACAGAAGAAAACCAUUAAUAGAAAUUCAACCGCUUUCACUCCAAAGAUCCUCCACCUUGAUUAGCUGUUUUGGAACAAAGUGCAACUCUUCUCUGGCUGCCUACAGACAUCAGACAGUCAAUCAAAGGCGUAAAGUUGGGAAGAAACGUUUUAGAGAGGCAGCAAGCGGCAGGUUUAUGGGAGUCGUUUAACUUCUGUCAGCUUUCUGCCUUUGACAAGUUCACAGGGGCCUUCCUUCCUCGAGUUCAAACUCCCAACAGGGCGGCAGCUUCAAAGAAGUGCCACCUGAGUCCACAGGCAGCUUUCCCACUUCAUUAAGGAGAGACAGGUGCACAGGCAGGCAGCGAAUAGAUGAGGAAGAGGAAUACACCCAUCCUCAGAUGGUAAAGGGUGUGUUCUCCCACAGCCGAGGAGGUGAGGGGGGAAUAAUCUAGUCAGCCAUUUGAGUUUAGUUAGCAGAUUGCAGCUUGCUUAAAAAAAGAAACCGCUCCAGAGGGAAGAGACAGGUCAGUCGCUAUCUGUCGGGCCCAGCCCUCUAAGAGCUUCCUUUCCGUGAAGUGUGAGGGGGAGAUAAGAUGGAGACAAGCCCUGGGAGAGAUUGGCAGCUCCGGGAGGCAGAGAGGCAGCGAGACUAAGAGCUGAUAACACCAGUCCAACCCCGGAGAGAGGAGGAAGGAGGGAGCAAUUACUGAGAGUUGGAAACGCUUGUGGCUGCUGGUAUCAAACCAGUGACCUCCUGGUUUGAAGGGCUGCCUCUCUCCUCAUCAGCAUACCAAAAAGACAACACAAAGGAGCUUGUAGAUCCUUUUUUCUACAGAUCUGACUGCUGAGGAGGUAAAGUGUGAUGCUGCCGAAGCACAGGAUGAGACUUUGCAUUUUCUUUCAUCCCUGAACAACUCCUCUGUGGACAGAGAGAGAUGAGACAGAUGCUGCUCAUUUAAAAAGACUAUAAUUGACUCAGCAGAGCUGCUGUCAGAACGCAGAUCUGACAGAGAGCUUCUACCACGCCCCGAAAUGCUGAGAGCUACGAUUUACUGCAGUAAUUGCUGUUAGUGAAGAAGAUGGAUCGUAGAAAAUGUUUAAGGAGAACAACUUCUUGUCUGGGGAGCAAUGACGGUUUCCUUAAACGCAACCUAACACCUGUAAAAUAGCUUUUUAAAAAAAUGGGGUGUGAAACCAAGUUAGAUCUUAAAAAUGAAAUGGAUUCUUCAAAGAGCAAAAAGCCCCGCUGAAAUCUAGAGUUUCACACACUUCAAACGGCCCUUUUCCCAGACGUUUUCAGGCAAUAAAAACGGUAGAAUGGUUUGACAAGAGCUGGGGAGUUGUGCUCACUGAGGUAGUUAAGGUCAGGGCAAACGUCAUUGAUUGAACUAAGUGCUCCGCUGAAAACAGUGUGCCUCAAUCAAUGCUGCCUCUAAUGGUGCGAGGCGGAGCUCCCCGAAGACCUCGGCUAUAGACGAAUGUGACAAAGUCAUCCGGAGGUGCUGGAGUCACGUCCUUUCUGCUGACAGACCGCUGGCCGGCCCGGCUGCUCUCAGCUCUCAGUUUCUCCUCUGAUAGCAAGUUAAUGAAAAUGCCAUUACUCAGACAGGCCAUCGAUGAGGGAGCAGGGUAAAACAGGGUGAAAGAUAGAAAAGAGUUUAACUAGGGAUGCACAGCCGUCACUGUUUCAAUGACAACAGCGUUUCCAAAAUGGAUACACAGUUCAUAAUCUUUAAGGAAAGCAACACUUCACGUUAAUACAUUUAAUCUUCUGCUGUGACAUUUUACUAACUUCAUUUAUUACUUUUACUGAUUACAAAAACUAAAUCAUUCAUUCAUUAAUUGAUAAGUAAGUAAUUGGGGCUGAAAGAUUUUACUUUCUCCUGUGAGUGAAUAAGGAAAGUACUAACUUUGUUCAUUACGCUCACUGAAUGGGUAAAAAGGACAUUUUGGGCAGUUUAUAUGAGAAAAGCUAUUCACUCUGUCUCUUGUUUUUUAUUGACUGAACUAGAAUCUUGUAAACUGUGAAUCAAAGGCACUCGUUACAAAAAAGGUAUCUCGGGAGUGGGCCAGGUUCAGUAAUUUGUCCUUGGAUGGAUUUAUUGUACAGCUUCUAUCACACUGACACGAAGGCUAACUAUUGCUCAAUUACACAAGGGAGAAGUGUAGUUACCUUUAUUGUGUUUGUUUUGGAUAGGUAAGUGCAGGGCAGCUGAGUCAGCUGAGGUUUUAAUUUUGUUAUUUAAGCAGAGCCUUAAAAACUCAGUUAAGAUUCCUUUUUUUGUAAAUUUCUGUCUUUGAUUUUGCAACACCCACAGGCUCCUUUUCAUUGGAAUCUCAUUCUCUAUUUUUUAAGAUUUGUACCCAGUUUAAGUUUAUUUAAUGAACUGCUCCUACAAUAAAUAAUUUUACUGCCUGUAUGUGUAAAAGGUACAAAAUACAUGGGCGUGUUAAAAGUCAGACAUCUCUUUUUGAUAUAAAUUUAGAGUUUUAGUCAUCAAAAAAUAAUGUGGGAUUUUACAAGGUGUUGAUUUUGAUUAAAAAGCAAGUGAAAAUCUUAUUUUAAAAAUGAGAAUACAAACUAAUUCAGCUGUUUGUUGUAUUUUAAUUACAUAGAAGGACUAUGCAAGUCUCUUCACUUUUAAUUAUCAGAAGCAUUUUUUAAGCUGUCAACUUCGUAAAGGGUACUUGUUUUUAGUGAACCCCGCUGUGAUUAGCUUCAUCAAUCACAACAACAACUUUUGGAUUAUUGGGACAUAAAAUCUGGGUAAAAAUUAGCUGAAACUCACCAGUACAUUUUUUGAAAAAUCGUAUUUUUGAUGAUCGCUUAAAAACUGAAAAUAAUGAACCUUAUGUAUCCAUGCUAGUAAAUACACAAUUAUAACCAAAUAGCUCUUGCGUGGGCUUCCAUCUUCCUCAAAACUUAAAAAAAAUUAAUAAAUAAAAAUAAAUCAAUCAGUGACUAUA